rnacentral:rRNA from 1 species
UACGGAGGGUGCAAGCGUUAUCCGGAUUCACUGGGUUUAAAGGGUGCGUAGGCGGGCAGGUAAGUCCGUGGUGAAAUCUCCGAGCUUAACUCGGAAACUGCCAUGGAUACUAUUUGUCUUGAAUACUGUGAAGGUGAGCGGAAUAUGUCAUGUAGCGGUGAAAUGCUUAGAUAUGACAUAGAACACCAAUUGCGAAGGCAGCUCACUGCGCAGUGAUUGAC